rnacentral:rRNA from 1 species
UACGAGGGGGGCAAGCGUUGUUCGGAAUUAUUGGGCGUAAAGGGUGCGUAGGCGGUUUUGUAAGUCUUGUGUGAAAUCUUCAGGCUCAACUUGAAGACUGCACGAGAAACUGCAGGGCUUGAGUGUGGGAGAGGUGAGUGGAAUUCCACGUGUAGCAGUGAAAUGCGUAGAUAUGUGGAGGAACACCGAUGGCGAAGGCAGCCCCCUGGGUUAACACUGACGCUCAUGCACGAAAGCGUGGGGAGCAAACAGG